GAGGGGUAGAGAGAUGGAGGUAGGGUGGAUAGAUGGAGGGGUAUAGAGAUAGAGCAGUAGAGAGAUAGAGGUAGGGUGGAGAGAGGUAGGGUGGAUAGAUGGAGUGGGGGAGAUGGAGGUAGGGUGGAGAGAUGUUGGUAUAUGGAGUGGGGAGAUGGAGGUAGGGUGGAGAGAUGUUGGUAGGGUGGAGAGAUGGAGUGGGGGAGAUGGAGGUAGGGUGGAGAGAUGUUGGUAGGGUGGAGAGAUGGAGUGGGGGAGAUGGAGGUAGGGUGGAGAGAUGUUGGUAGGGUGGAGAGAUGGAGUGGGGGAGAUGGAGGUAGGGUGGAGAGAUGUUGGUAGGGUGGAGAGAUGUUGGUAGGGUGGAGAGAUGGAGUGGGGAGAUGGAGGUGGGGUGGAGAGAUGUUGGUAGGGUGGAGAGAUGGAGUGGGGGAGAUGGAGGUAGGGUGGAGAGAUGGAGUGGGGAGAUGGAGGUAGGAUGGAGAGAUGGAGGUAGUGUGGAGAGAUGGAGGGGUAGAUAGAUGUAGGUAGAAAAAGUGUAUAGCCAUUCCCUGGUUCCUGAGGAUCCUCUACCAUAAUCCCUCUCUCAUUCUCUCUUCUACUACUCCUCUUUCUCUCACAUGCACACACUCUCCCUUUAUCUGC
ensembl:lncRNA